UGAGGAACAUGACCUUCGGCGGGGGAGUAGCCGGCCCAACGGCCGGGCAAUACCGCGUACGACCACAUGGGGACGAUCCCUGAGUGGUGAAAGCAGCAAUGCGCCGAUGGAGUGCCUCGCGGCCUAUCAGCUAGUUGGUGAGGUAAUGGCUCACCAAGGCGACGACGGGUAGCUGGUCUGAGAGGAUGGCCAGCCACAUUGGGACUGAGACACGGCCCCAGACCUACCCGG
rnacentral:rRNA from 1 species